rnacentral:rRNA from 1 species
GAUGAACGCUGGCGGCGUGCCUAAUACAUGCAAGUCGAGCGGCAGCGCGAGUAGUUUACUACUUGGCGGCGAGCGGCGGACGGCUGAGUAACACGUAGGAACGUACCACAAAGUGCGGGAUAACUGCUCGAAAGAGUAGCUAAUACCGCAUGUGAUCUAAGGAUUAAAGCUUCGGCGCGUUGGGAAAGGCGUGCGUAUGAUUAGUUUGUUGGUGAGGUAAUGGCUCACCAAGACUACGAUCAUUAGCUGGUCUGAGAGGAUGAUCAGCCACACUGGGACUGAGACACGGCCCAGACUCCUACGGGAGGCAGCAGUGGGGAAUUUUGGACAAUGGGCGAAAGCCUGAUCCAGCAAUGCCGCGUGCAGGAUGAAGGCCUUCGGGUUGUAAACUGCUUUUGUACGGAACGAAAAGCCCCGGGUUAAUACCCUGGGGUCAUGACGGUACCGUAAGAAUAAGCACCGGCUAACUACGUGCCAGCAGCCGCAGUAA